rnacentral:rRNA from 1 species
CCUACGGGGGGCUGCAGUCGAGAAUCUUCGGCAAUGGGCGAAAGCCUGACCGAGCGACGCCGCGUGUGGGAUGAAGGCCUUCGGGUUGUAAACCGCUGUCAGAGGGGAGGAAUGGGCGGAGGGUAAUCUCUUCGUUUUGACCUAUCCUCAGAGGAAGUACGGGCUAAGUUCGUGCCAGCAGCCGCGGUAAGACGAACCGUACGAACGUUAUUCGGAAUCACUGGGCUUAAAGGGUGCGUAGGCGGCGCUGAAAGUUGGGUGUGAAAUCCCUCGGCUUAACCGAGGAACUGCGCCCAAAACUACAGUGCUUGAGGGAGAUAGAGGUGAGCGGAACUUAGGGUGGAGCGGUGAAAUGCGUUGAUAUCCUAAGGAACGCCAGGGGCGAAAGCGGCUCACUGGGUCUCUUCUGACGCUGAGGCACGAAAGCUAGGGUAGCGAACGGGAUUAGAUACCCCAGUAGUC